rnacentral:rRNA from 1 species
AGCAAUACCGCGUGAGGGAAGACUGCCUAUGGGUUGUAAACCUCUUUUUUCAGGGAGGAAUCAAUGACGUGUACCUGAAGAAUAAGCAUCGGCUAACUCCGUGCCAGCAGCCGCGGUAAGACGGAGGAUGCAAGUGUUAUCCGGAAUCACUGGGCGUAAAGCGUCUGUAGGUGGUUUAAUAAGUCAACUGUUAAAUCUUGAGGCUCAACUUCAAAAUCGCAGUCGAAACUAUUAGACUAGAGUAUAGUAGAGGUAAAGGGAAUUUCCAGUGGAGCGGUGAAAUGCGUAGAUAUUGGAAAGAACACCGAUGGCGAAAGCACUUUACUGGGCUAUUACUAACACUCAGAGACCAAAGCUAGGGUAGCAAAUGGGAUUAGAUACCCCAGUAGUCCUAGCCGUAAACAAUGGAUCUAGAUGUUGAACAGAUCGACCUGUGCAGUAUCAAAGCUACGCGUUAAGUAUCCCGC